UUGCUCGUCGUGAACCUCACCGCUGCCAGCGCAAGCCACCGCAGCUCUCCGCCCUAGCUUGCCCACGCCUGUGCGAGCAACCGUAGCUCCCCGACGGUGCUCACCCACGCUGAUGCCCGAGUGAUCCACUGCGACUCGCCGCCGGUUCUUGUCCACGUCUGCAGGCGCCGGCGCAGUUCGUCCUUGCCUCGCGGAUGCCUGCGCUAGAUACCGCAGCUCGCUGCGGGUUCUCCCCCACGCCUGCGCGCGAUAGCGCAGCUCUCUGCGGGUCCUGAACAAGUGGCGCGAUGGCAGCAGCGGCUGGAGGAGGAGAUGGAUGUGUGUGUAGGUCCUGAAGAUGUUGAAUGCAAGCAACAUAGAGAACUGUCCAACACUACUUUCUUGUCAAUUUUUGCAUGUCCAGCCUUCUCGGAAGAUGGCAUUAGGCAGUUUACUUUCUGAUGGAGACCACUUCUGAUGCUACCUAGAUUGGCCGAUCUACUUUUUUUAUCAGGGACACUACUAUCCAUUUCAUGAGGAAGCACUCGGCAUAUCUGCUGUAGGAUCACAAUGUUCAGCCUGGCUUCUAUCUUGUAUCUGGCAUGUAAUAUCUUUUUCAUUGGUGCAAAACUGCAAAUUUAUCCGAAUU